rnacentral:rRNA from 1 species
GACGAACGCUGGCGGCGUGCUUAACACAUGCAAGUCGAACGAGAAUCUGUGGAUCGAGGAUUCGUCCAAGUGAAGCAGAGGACAGUGGCGGACGGGUGAGUAACGCGUGAGGAACCUGCCUUUCAGAGGGGGACAACAGUUGGAAACGAUUGCUAAUACCGCAUAAGCCCACGGCUCGGCAUCGAGCAGAGGGAAAAGGAGUGAUCCGCUUUGAGAUGGCCUCGCGUCCGAUUAGCUAGUUGGUGAGGUAAUGGCCCACCAAGGCGACGAUCGGUAGCCGGACUGAGAGGUUGAACGGCCACAUUGGGACUGAGACACGGCCCAGACUCCUACGGGAGGCAGCAGUGGGGAAUAUUGCACAAUGGGCGAAAGCCUGAUGCAGCGACGCCGCGUGAGUGAAGAAGUAUUUCGGUAUGUAAAGCUCUAUCAGCAGGGAGAAAAUGACGGUACCUGACUAAGAAGCCCCGGCUAAACUACGUG